GGGGAAUAUUGCACAAUGGGGGGAACCCUGAUGCAGCCAUGCCGCGUGAAUGAAGAAGGCCUUCGGGUUGUAAAGUUCUUUCGGUGACGAGGAAGGUUGAUAGGUUAAUAGCCUAUCAAAUUGACGUUAAUCACAGAAGAAGCACCGGCUAACUCCGUGCCAGCAGCCGCGGUAAUACGGGGGGUGCGAGCGUUAAUCGGAAUAACUGGGCGUAAAGGGCACGCAGGCGGUGACUUAAGUGAGAUGUGAAAGCCCCGAGCUUAACUUGGGAAUUGCAUUUCAUACUGGGUCGCUAGAGUACUUUAGGGAGGGGUAGAAUUCCACGUGUAGCGGUGAAAUGCGUAGAGAUGUGGAGGAAUACCGAAGGCGAAGGCAGCCCCUUGGGAAUGUACUGACGCUCAUGUGCGAAAGCGUGGGGAGCAAACAGGAUUAGAUACCCUGGUAGUCCACGCUGUAGACGAUGUCGAUUUGGGGAUUGGGCUUUGAGCUUGGUGCCCGUAGCUAACGUGAUAAAUCGACCGCCUGGGGAGUACGGCUGCAAGGUUA
rnacentral:rRNA from 1 species